rnacentral:rRNA from 1 species
UACGGAGGGAGCUAGCGUUGUUCGGAAUUACUGGGCGUAAAGCGCACGUAGGCGGACAUUUAAGUCAGGGGUGAAAUCCCAGAGCUCAACUCUGGAACUGCCUUUGAUACUGGGUGUCUUGAGUAUGGAAGAGGUGAGUGGAAUUCCGAGUGUAGAGGUGAAAUUCGUAGAGAUCGGCAGGAACACCCAGGGGGAAACCAGUGGACUGGGCAUGAGCUGACGCUCAGGUGCGAAAGCGUGGGGAGCGAACCGG